rnacentral:rRNA from 1 species
UACAGAGGAUGCAAGCGUUAUCCGGAAUGAUUGGGCGUAAAGCGUCCGUAGGUGGCUUUUUAAGUCCGCCGUCAAAUCCCAGGGCUCAACUCUGGACAGGCGGUGGAAACUACCAAGCUGGAGUACGGUAGGGGCAGAGGGAAUUUCCGGUGGAGCGGUGAAAUGCGUAGAGAUCGGAAAGAACACCAGCGGCGAAAGCGCUCUGCUGGGCCGACACUGACACUGAGAGACGAAAGCUAGGGGAGCGAAUGGG